GAAAGGGAAACGAUUGAAGUCAGUCGUACCUUAGGGUAAUCAGCCUUUCGAGUGCGAUUCUGUGGAGCGUGAGGAGUUAAACGCCUUCAUGCCUGCAUAUUCGUGCACUUUGGGUGUACUUGCCCGUGUGGUAGGUUAACAUCAAUUUCGGAUGUCAUAAAAUGGCUGGAGGAAUGUAGCUUCGGUCUCGUACUGAAGUGUUAUAGCCUUUGGCAGAUGUGAUGACCGGGAUUGAGGAUUGCAACGAAUACCUUUUGGGCUACCCGCCUGAUCUCUGAAAGUUGCUCUGGUGCCGAAAGCUUGCUUACGGUUAUCAAAGUUGACGUUCAAAAGGUUAGAACGGGUUAAAUUCGUUAAGGAUGUUGACGUAAAGGGC
rnacentral:rRNA from 1 species